UACGUAGGUGGCAAGCGUUGUCCGGAAUUACUGGGUGUAAAGGGAGCGUAGGCGGGAAUGCAAGUUGAAUGUUUAAUCUAUGGGCUCAACCCAUAUCAGCGUUCAAAACUGUGUUUCUUGAGUGAAGUAGAGGCAGGCGGAAUUCCUAGUGUAGCGGUGAAAUGCGUAGAUAUUAGGAGGAACACCAGUGGCGAAGGCGGCCUGCUGGGCUUUUACUGACGCUGAUGCUCGAAAGUGCGGGGAGCAAACAGGAUUAGAUACCCUGGUAGUCCGCACCGUAAACGAUGAUUACUAGGUGUGGGGGGACUGACCCCUUCCGUGCCGGAGUUAACACAAUAAGUAAUCCACCUGGGGAGUACGACCGCAAGGUUGAA
rnacentral:rRNA from 1 species